rnacentral:rRNA from 1 species
CCUACGGGUGGCAGCAGUGAGGAAUAUUGGUCAAUGGACGCAAGUCUGAACCAGCCAUGCCGCGUGAAGGAAGAAGGCACUAUGAGUUGUAAACUGCUUUUGUACGGGAGUAAACGCAGAUACGCGUCUCUGUCUGAAUGUAUCGUAAGAAUAAGAAUCGGCUAACUCCGUGCCAGCAGCCGCGGUAAUACGGAAGAUUCGAGCGUUAUCCGGAGUUAUUGGGGUUAAAGGGUGCGUAGGCGGGCGGUUAAGUUAGAGGUGAAAUCCCGAGGCUCAACUUCGGAAUUGCCUGUGAAACUGUUCGUCUAGAGAGUAGGAGAGGUAUGCGGAAUUCAUGGUGUAGCGGUGAAAUGCUUAGAUAUCACACAGAAUACCGAUUGCGAAGGCAGCAUACCAAGCUACUACUGACGCUGAGGCACGAAAGCGUGGGGAGCAAACAGGAUUAGAUACCCCUGUAGUC